CCCUUAGAUGUUCGGGGCCGCACGCGCGCUACACUGAAGGAAUCAGCGUGCUCUUGUCCUGGUCUGGAAAGACUGGGUAACCCGUUGAACCUCCUUCGUGCUAGGGAUUGGGGCUUGCAAUUAUUCCCCAUGAACGAGGAAUUCCCAGUAAGCGCAAGUCAUCAGCUUGUGUUGAUUACGUCCCUGCCCUUUGUACACACCGCCCGUCGCUACUACCGAUUGGAUCGUUUAGCGAGAGCCUUGGAUCGCUGCCCGGGUAGUCAGCAAUGGCCGCCCGGGAAUAGUGAAAAAUUGUUCCAGCUUGCCGAUCUAGAGGAAGUAAAAGUCGUAACA
rnacentral:rRNA from 1 species